CCUCAGGCUCCACCUACUGCGGGUUUUAGUUGGUUAGGUUUCGCUCUCGUCUUUCCCCCAACUGUCCCCACUUCCUACAUUCAUUCAUUACACCAUCAUUCAACCUCUCUGCUACACUCCAGUGACUCCUUCCACUGCCAGCCCACUCAACCACAUUAGUCCCUAACAUUGCACUCUUUAAAGUACUCAUCAUGAGGAAAUCUUAACGUAUCUGCCAAGUAGCAAAAUGCUGAUACUGAACAGAUCAGUAAAAUGUUCACUGACUACAUAUUUUUUUUUAAAUGUAACAAGCAACUACAUUUCCUCAUAAAAUAUAACUUGCAAAAGAAUUGAGGACCACAAAGAGAACACAAUUAAUAACAACUCAUAACUCAUAAAUAACACAGGUAACAAAUGUUUGCUCAAAGGAACUUGUACUCUGGUUUUACUCAAAUCAAACCAUGUAACUAACCUUUCUGACUACAAACCUCAGUUAAACAGUGAGCAGUUCUGCUGGGACUGUUACAGAUAAUGCUGUGAUAUACAAAUACUGAAAGAAAGAGGAAGAAGACACAAAGACGGGCAUAUUAACGUUUCUCAGGAAACGAGGCUGUGCAACAAAUGAGAAGAGGAACUGACAAACAAACUGGAGUUUAAUAGUCUCAAUAGUUUCACUGAUCAUCCAAGAUCAUCAAAAUGAGAAGCUCUCUUCUACUGCUCCUCUCCCUGAUGACAGGUUGUUGAGGAAGGAGUAUAAAAAUAAAGGGGAAGGACCAGUGUUUAGGUAACAUACAACAGACAUUCAAGAAACGCUUCAGACCGACCGACUGUAGAAGUGAAAUAACCAGCUAGAGUUUAAUAAUAUGACCAAGGAGCAGCAAGACCAACAUGAUGAAGAUCUUUCUGCUCCUCCUCUCACUGAUGGCAGGCUGUGAGGCCUCAACUGAAGUGAAGGUUUGCAGAGACGGAUGGGUUGAAUUCUACUGCAAAUAUAAAGCAAGUGAAACAUACCAAAUAAUCGAUGUAGUUCCUCCAAACAAUUCAGAAAUACGAAGUACUCAAAAGGAUCAGUGGGAAAACAAAGGCAGAUAUUCUCUGUAUCAUGAUACAAAAAAUAAAAGACUCAAAGUGGCCAUCAAACAACUUCAACAGGAGAACUUUGGGGAAUACGAGUGUGAAUUUUUUCAAGACCAGAACUCACCAGACGAAGUUGAAGAUGAAGUUAAAGUGGCAGCUGAGACAGAUGGCUGCCAGGGACAAUUUAACCAAACUGUGUACAGAACGGCUAAAACCACCAUCACAUGUGAUUAUCCAGAAAACAAACACAGGUUCAGUGACAAGUUUCUCUGCAGAGAGAAUAAAUUCACUUGUGAGGAGAUUUUAUCAACGAGAUCUUCUGUAAAGUCAAACAGAAAAUACAAUCUCACAGAAACCAACAGAGGAUUCAGUGUGUCCAUCAGUAAUGUGUCCUCACAUGAUGCUGGUCUCUACUGGUGUGGAGUGAAUAAAGGAAAUUACCAAACUGGACUCAGAAAAAUCCAACUGGAGGUUGAAGAUAUUACGACAUUCGCAAGGUCUCCAACUAUUGGACAGAAUUUUACAUACUGGUGUGAAUAUCCAAAUGGUGCUCCGAUAAAGAAAUUCAUCUGUAAGGGAGAAGAUCCAUCUAUAUGUCAACCUCUAGUAAACACUGUACAGCGCAACAUGAACAACGGAAAGUUUUCCAUGAAGGAAGACAAAUUAAAGAGAAAUGUAACCAUAACAGUGAGAGAAGUAACAGCAGACGACAGUGGGACAUACUGGUGUGGAGCAGAAAGCACUGACACAAGACGCAGUAACACAUUCUUCCACAGAUGCUUGUUGACUGUAGGUGAGUGGUCACAUUAUUUUAUUGUUUGGAUGUAAUCUGACUCCUGUUUAUAUGUAAACCUGACAAUUUGAUUACCAGGUUCAUGAUGGCAUUUUCUUUCUUUUUUUUAUGGAUUUUCUUUACCAGAUUUUACCAAAUUAUAUUUCUUAUUUUCUUACACUUCUAC
rnacentral:lncRNA from 15 species